GGUCCGCUACGGACUGCCGGACUCCGGCAGCGCCUUCCGGGCGCUGCGCGAGGCCUCGCAGCGGUUCAACGUGCCGUUGCGGGUCC
rnacentral:tRNA from 1 species